GUAGGGUGCAAGCGUUAAUCGGAAUUACUGGGCGUAAAGCGUGCGCAGGCGGUUGUGUAAGUCAGAUGUGAAAUCCCCGGGCUCAACCUGGGAAUUGCAUUUGAGACUGCACGGCUAGAGUGUGUCAGAGGGGGGUAGAAUUCCACGUGUAGCAGUGAAAUGCGUAGAUAUGUGGAGGAAUACCGAUGGCGAAGGCGGCCCCCUGGGAUAACACUGACGCUCAUGCACGAAAGCGUGGGGGGAGCAAACAGGAUUAGAUACCCUGGUAGUCCACGCCCUAAACGAUGUCUACUAGUUGUCGGGUCUUAAUUGACUUGGUAACGCAGCUAACGCGUGAAGUAGACCGCCCUGGGAGUACGGUCGCAAGAUUA
rnacentral:rRNA from 1 species